rnacentral:rRNA from 1 species
AUUGAACGCUGGCGGAAUGCUUUACACAUGCAAGUCGAACGGCAGCACGGGGGCAGCCCUGGUGGCGAGUGGCGAACGGGUGAGUAAUACAUCGGAACGUGCCCGGUCGUGGGGGAUAACGUAGCGAAAGUUACGCUAAUACCGCAUACGAUCUGAGGAUGAAAGCGGGGGACCUUCGGGCCUCGCGCGAUCGGAGCGGCCGAUGUCAGAUUAGGUAGUUGGUGGGUAAAGGCCUACCAAGCCGACGAUCUGUAGCUGGUCUGAGAGGACGACCAGCCACACUGGGACUGAGACACGGCCCAGACUCCUACGGGAGGCAGCAGUGGGGAAUUUUGGACAAUGGGCGCAAGCCUGAUCCAGCCAUUCCGCGUGCAGGACGAAGGCCUUCGGGUUGUAAACUGCUUUUGUACGGAACGAAAAGGCUCUGGCUAAUACCUGGGGCUCAUGACGGUACCGUAAGAAUAAGCACCGGCUAACUACGUG